rnacentral:rRNA from 1 species
AGUGAACGCUGGCGGUAGGCCUAACACAUGCCAGUCGAACGGCAGCACAGUAAGAGCUUGCUCUUACGGGUGGCGAGUGGCGGACGGGUGAGGAAUACAUCGGAAUCUACUUUUUCGUGGGGGAUAACGUAGGGAAACUUACGCUAAUACCGCAUACGACCUACGGGUGAAAGCAGGGGAUCUUCGGACCUUGCGCGAUUGAAUGAGCCGAUGUCGGAUUAGCUAGUUGGCGGGGUAAAGGCCCACCAAGGCGACGAUCCGUAGGUGGUCUGAGAGGAUGAUCAGCCACACUGGAACUGAGACACGGUCCAGACUCCUACGGGAGGCAGCAGUGGGGAAUAUUGGACAAUGGGCGCAAGCCUGAUCCAGCCAUACCGCGUGGGUGAAGAAGGCCUUCGGGUUGUAAAGCCCUUUUGUUGGGAAAGAAAAGCAGCAGGUUAAUACCUCGCUGUUCUGACGGUACCCAAAGAAUAAGCACCGGCUAACUUCGUG